GAUGAACCAUAAAAAGUUCUUUAGACA
rnacentral:tRNA from 1 species